CCUACGGGGGGCUGCAGUGAGGAAUAUUGGUCAAUGGACGCAAGUCUGAACCAGCCAUGCCGCGUGCAGGAAGACGGCUCUAUGAGUUGUAAACUGCUUUUGUACGAGGGUAAACGCAGAUACGCGUAUCUGUCUGAAAGUAUCGUACGAAUAAGGAUCGGCUAACUCCGUGCCAGCAGCCGCGGUAAUACGGAGGAUUCAAGCGUUAUCCGGAUUUAUUGGGUUUAAAGGGUGCGUAGGCGGUCGGAUAAGUUAGCGGUGAAAUCCCGAGGCUCAACUUCGGAAUUGCGUCUGAUACUGUUCGGCUAGAGAGUAGUUGCGGUAGGCGGAAUGUAUGGUGUAGCGGUGAAAUGCUUAGAGAUCAUACAGAACACCGAUUGCGAAGGCAGCUUACCAAGCUACUUCUGACGUUGAGGCACGAAAGCGUGGGGAGCGAACAGGAUUAGAUACCCCUGUAGUC
rnacentral:rRNA from 1 species